rnacentral:rRNA from 1 species
AACGAACGCUGGCGGCAUGCCUAACACAUGCAAGUCGAACGCCCCGCAAGGGGAGUGGCGCACGGGGGAGUAACGCGUGGGAAUAUGCCCUUCGGUUCGGAAUAACACAGGGAAACUUGUGCUAAUAGCGGAUACGAUCUACGGAAGAAAGAUUUAUAGCCGAGGGAGUAGCCCGCGUAGGAUUAGCUAGUUGGUGAGGUAAUGGCUCACCAAGGCGACGAUCAUUAGCUGGUCUGAGAGGAUGAUCAGCCACACUGGGACUGAGACACGGCCCAGACUCCUACGGGAGGCAGCAGUGGGGAAUAUUGGACAAUGGGCGAAAGCCUGAUCCAGCCAUGCCGCGUGAGUGUUGAAGGCCUUAGGGUUGUAAAGCUCUUUCACCAGGGAAGAUAAUGACGGUACCUGGAAAAGAAGCCUCGGCUAACUCCGUGCCAGCAGCCGCUGUAA